GACGAACUCUUGCUGUCUGGAGCAGAAUCAAGAUGGCGGCUGCUGAAAGAGGCUCUUCCUGGAGUGGAAAAACUGAAAGUAGAGUCCAAUUGUGAAGAACUGCUGGAGAAUUGUAGUCAUCUAAUAUCAACAGCUGAAGAUGUGCCUGAUGAAAAUCUGUACAAGCUUAGACUGACAGACAUGGCUUUAGACGCUUCCAUUCAGCUGGGGCUCUGGGAGAAGGCUUUGAGAUACGGCGAGUUAACACUUCCAGUAUACAGACGAUACUACCCUGAUCCUCACCCGGUGCAUGGAGUGCAGCUGAUGAGGGUCGGAAAGCUGCAACAUUACUUGGAACAUCUUCAGGAUGCACUGGACACAUUCA